rnacentral:rRNA from 1 species
UACGUAGGGUGCAAGCGUUGUCCGGAAUUAUUGGGCGUAAAGAGCUUGUAGGCGGUUUGUCGCGUCUGCUGUGAAAUUUCGGGGCUCAACCCCGAACUUGCAGUGGGUACGGGCAGACUAGAGUGUGGUAGGGGAGACUGGAAUUCCUGGUGUAGCGGUGAAAUGCGCAGAUCUCAGGAGGAACACCAGUGGCGAAGGCGGUGCUCUGGGCCGGAACUGACGCUGAGGAGCGAAAGCGUGGGGAGCAAACAGG